GCCCUCGUAGCUCAGUGGAUAGAGCGAGACCGUCCUAAGGUCUGCGUCGUAGGUUCGAUUCCUUCCGAGGGCA
rnacentral:tRNA from 1 species